rnacentral:rRNA from 1 species
UACGGAGGGGGCUAGCGUUGUUCGGAAUUACUGGGCGUAAAGCGCACGUAGGCGGAUUGGAAAGUUGGGGGUGAAAUCCCGGGGCUCAACCCCGGAACUGCCUUCAAAACUCCCAGUCUGGAGGUCGAGAGAGGUGAGUGGAAUUCCGAGUGUAGAGGUGAAAUUCGUAGAUAUUCGGAGGAACACCAGUGGCGAAGGCGGCUCACUGGCGUCGAUACUGACGCUGGAGGUGCGAAAGCGUGGGGAGCGAACCGG